AUAUGGUAGGAGAGCGUUCUGUAAGCCUGCGAAGGUGGCUUGUAAAGGCUGCUGGAGGUAUCAGAAGUGCGAAUGCUGACAUGAGUAGCGAUAAUGGGGGUGAAAAGCCCCCACGCCGUAAGCCCAAGGUUUCCUGUUCAACGUUCAUCGGAGCAGGGUGAGUCGGCCCCUAAGGCGAGGCAGAGAUGCGUAGCUGAUGGGAAGCAGGUUAAUAUUCCUGCACCGUCGUAUGAUGCGAUGGGGGGACGGAUCGCGGAAGGUCGUCAGGCGGUUGGAAGAGCCUGUUCUUAUCUUAUAGAAGGCACUUAGGCAAAUCCGGGUGCGUAAUUCAAGGGGAUGAGACGAGUGAACUUGUUCACGAAGCGAUCAGAAGUGGUUCCAAGAAAAGCCUCUAAGCUUCAGUCAUACGAGACCGUACCGCAAACCGACACAGGUGGGCGAGAUGAGUAUUCUAAGGCGCUUGAGAGAACUCGGGAGAAGGAACUCGGCAAAUUGGUACCGUAACUUCGGGAUAAGGUACGCCCUUGUAGUUUAACCCCCCUGCGGGGGAAGGACGAAAGGGUUGCAAUAAACUGGUGGCUGCAACUGUUUAAUAAAAACACAGCACUCUGCAAACACGAAAGUGGACGUAUAGGGUGUGACUCCUGCCCGGUGCUGGAAGAUUAAAUGAUGGGGUGCAAGCUCUUGAUUGAAGUCCCAGUAAACGGCGGCCGUAACUAUAACGGUCCUAAGGUAGCGAAAUUCCUUGUCGGGUAAGUUCCGACCUGCACGAAUGGAGUAAUGAUGGCCACACUGUCUCCUCCCGAGACUCAGCGAAGUUGAAAUGUUUGUGAUGAUGCAAUCUACCCGCGGCUAGACGGAAAGACCCCAUGAACCUUUACUGUAGCUUUGCAUUGGACUUUGAACCAAUCUGUGUAGGAUAGGUGGGAGGCUUUGAAGCGGGAACGCCAGUUCUUGUGGAGCCAUCCUUGAAAUACCACCCUGGUUUGUUUGAGGUUCUAACCUUGGCCCAUAAUCUGGGUCGGGGACAGUGCAUGGUAGGCAGUUUGACUGGGGCGGUCUCCUCCCAAAGUGUAACGGAGGAGUUCGAAGGUACGCUAGUUACGGUCGGACAUCGUGACGAUAGUGCAAUGGCAUAAGCGUGCUUAACUGCGAGACUGACAAGUCGAGCAGGUACGAAAGUAGGACAUAGUGAUCCGGUGGUUCUGUAUGGAAGGGCCAUCGCUCAACGGAUAAAAGGUACUCUGGGGAUAACAGGCUGAU
rnacentral:rRNA from 1 species